UGCAGAAGGAAACGCAUGUCUUUUCUCUACUUGACGCGUUUGAUGUGUCCUUUAGUUUUAUUUUAUGAGUAUUUUGCUUAUAAAAUUUGCAGAUGAUUGAUUGAUCCCUGUACUGUUAGCAAUUGGGAGAACAUUUAGGCAAAGUUUGGACCUUUUUUACUUUCAACGGUGUGCCUAUAAGCUGUUCGAGAAAAUGACUCAGCGAGAACAAGUUGCAACUGAAGAAGAUGAAGUAGUAAUAACCUGAAGUUUGUUUCGUUUGGUUGUUCAGGUGAAACAAUGCUGGCGAAGACAUUUAUCUCGAGACAUUUUGUUCUCAUCAGCUACUUCAAAGACGCUUAAGGUGGGAGAUGUUUUAAGAGAAGCGAGAGUGUUCUCAAGUGAAGGGCUAUGCUGAGUAUAAAUGCAUGGACUAAGAUGACGAGGGACGCAGAUGUGCGAAGACUUACCACAGCAUAGCCCUUAACACAUACUAGCCCUUAGCAGUUUUUGAUGAAACCAUCAAACUUUAGCUUGCUGAAGGAGUUUCUCUUGGUGGUUGAGGUUGGGGCAGGAUACUCGAGACUCGCGUUUCCAGGGCAAGACAUAGCAAAUCAAACUGAAAUGGAUAUCCUAGUUUUUCAAAUCAAAUUGAAACUGAUAACAAAUCAAAUCAAUUUUCACAUAUAUUUUGUCCACUCUUUUGGUAAGUAACAGAAAAAAAAAUCUUUUAAAAAAGUAACCU